rnacentral:tRNA from 1 species
GAGGGGAGGUUAAAUCAACAAGGACUGCUAACUCUUGCAUCUGGGCUUUAAACCCCAGCCCCCUUA